rnacentral:lncRNA from 1 species
GCGGGAAGAGACCCUGCUCCUGCUAUGAAGCACCCGGCGGAUUCAGCGGCGAGCACCUCGGUGCAUCAUCACCUGCAUGGCCCCGCGCCUGCCUCGAUCGUCGCCUCCCCGCUCCCUGAGCCGGCAAGUCGCUGCUCCUGCUCGCGUGCUGCUCCGCCAAUGCUCCUCGCUCCCUGCCCGCGCAUAGGCGCGAGAAGGAGGCUGCUGCACCUGACCCCCACGCCGGUCUCUCCCUACUGCCGCCC